rnacentral:rRNA from 1 species
AUAUACUGGAUAGGUCAAGGAUACUGGAAUUUGUUCUUUGACUGAAAGUUCAGGCGCUUUUGGAUGGGUCUGCGGCUGAUUAGGUUGAUGCCGGUGUAACGUACCGGCAUGCCGAUAAUCAGUACGGGUUGUGGGAGCAAGAGCCCGGAGAUGGAUUCUGAGACACGAAUCCAGGCCCUACGGGGCGCAGCAGGCGCGAAAACUUUACAAUGCAGGCAACUGCGAUAAGGGAACAUCGAGUGAUACUCAUAAUGGGUGUCUGUCCCUCUGUCUAAAAAACAGGGGUUAGCAAGGGCCGGGCAAGACCGGUGCCAGCCGCCGCGGUAAUACCGGCGGCUCGAGUGGUGGCCGAUAUUAUUGAGUCUAAAGGGUCCGUAGCCGGCUUUGCAAGUCUUGUGGGAAAUCCAGCGGCUUAACCGUUGGGCGUCUGGGGGCUACUACAUUGCUCGGGACUGGGAGAGGCGAGAGGUACUCAGGGGGUAGGAGUGAAAUCCUGUAAUCCUUUGGGGACCACCGGUGGCGAAGGCGUCUCGCCAGAACAGGUCCGACGGUGAGGGACGAAAGCUAGGGGCACGAACCGGAUUAGAUACCCGGGUAGUCCUAGCCGUAAACGAUGCUCGCUAGGUGUCACAACAGUCGUGAACUGUUGUGGUGCCGUAGGGAAGCCGUGAAGCGAGCCAC